GGCAGUACUCGGGUGAUGCACCCCAGAAUCGAGCUCCCUCCUCUCUGGUUCCAGGUGCAUCACUUGAGAACCGCA
rfam:Myotis brandtii contig279714, whole genome shotgun sequence.